rnacentral:lncRNA from 1 species
GUUAUUCUAGCAGGAAGGAGUAAAUAAUUACCAAGAUGCCUCUCUUGUAUAUUGAAUAAAAUAAAAAAUAGUAAAUACACCUUAGACCCUACUAAAUCCUAAACUUUAGAUAUUAGUAAACCCCAAAUACUAAACCUUAAACCAUACGUCUAAAUCCUUCUUAUGUCCAUCCGCUAGCUAGUAUUAAUAGUGGAUGUGAUUAUUUUAUUUAACAUAUAUGAGGGGUAAUGUCGUAAUUAGACUAUCCAUUGCUAUUAUGUGUAUGCCAC